rnacentral:rRNA from 1 species
CACGCGGUAAACGAUGAGAACUAGAUGUUGGAGGGCGCUGCUCUUAAGUAUCGAAGCUAACGCGAUAAGUUCUCCGCCUGGGAAGUACGGCCGCAAGGUUAAAACUCAAAGGAAUUGACGGGGGCCCGCACAAGCGGUGGAGCAUGUGGUUUAAUUCGAUGCAACGCGAAAAACCUUACCUACCCUUGACAUGUCAGGAACCUUUUAGAGAUAAGAGGGUGCCGCGAGGAACCUGAACACAGGUGC